rnacentral:rRNA from 1 species
UGGCCGGCGGCUAUACUGCAGUAGAACGCUGAAGAGAGGAGCUUGCUCUUCUUGGAUGAGUUGCGAACGGGUGAGUAACGCGUAGGUAACCUGCCUUGUAGCGGGGGAUAACUAUUGGAAACGAUAGCUAAUACCGCAUAACAAUGGAUGACCCAUGUCAUUUAUUUGAAAGGGGCAAAUGCUCCACUACAAGAUGGACCUGCGUUGUAUUAGCUAGUAGGUGAGGUAACGGCUCACCUAGGCGACGAUACAUAGCCGACCUGAGAGGGUGAUCGGCCACACUGGGACUGAGACACGGCCCAGACUCCUACGGGAGGCAGCAGUAGGGAAUCUUCGGCAAUGGGGGCAACCCUGACCGAGCAACGCCGCGUGAGUGAAGAAGGUUUUCGGAUCGUAAAGCUCUGUUGUAAGUCAAGAACGAGUGUGAGAGUGGAAAGUUCACACUGUGACGGUAGCUUACCAGAAAGGGACGGCUAACUACGUGCCAGCAGCCGCGGUAAUACGUAGGUCCCGAGCGUUGUCCGGAUUUAUUGGGCGUAAAGCGAGCGCAGGCGGUUUGAUAAGUCUGAAGUUAAAGGCUGUGGCUCAACCAUAGUUCGCUUUGGAAACUGUCAAACUUGAGUGCAGAAGGGGAGAGUGGAAUUCCAUGUGUAGCGGUGAAAUGCGUAGAUAUAUGGAGGAACACCGGUGGCGAAAGCGGCUCUCUGGUCUGUAACUGACGCUGAGGCUCGAAAGCGUGGGGAGCGAACAGGAUUAGAUACCCUGGUAGUCCACGCCGUAAACGAUGAGUGCUAGGUGUUGGAUCCUUUCCGGGAUUCAGUGCCGCAGCUAACGCAUUAAGCACUCCGCCUGGGGAGUACGACCGCAAGGUUGAAACUCAAAGGAAUUGACGGGGGCCCGCACAAGCGGUGGAGCAUGUGGUUUAAUUCGAAGCAACGCGAAGAACCUUACCAGGUCUUGACAUCCCGAUGCUAUUUCUAGAGAUAGAAAGUUACUUCGGUACAUCGGGUGACAGGUGGGUGCAUGAUUUGUCGUCAGCUCGUGUCGUGAGAUGUUUGGGCUAGUCCCCGCACGAGCGGCAACCCCUAUGAUUAGUUUGCCAUUCAUUCCAGCUUGGG